CUUGGGCUGUGGGCACGUGACGCGGGGCGCAAUGGCCCGGGGCGUUGGAGGUGCGUGGGGGAGGGAGGCGCAAGGUCGUUUGCGCAAGGACUACCUCCGCGCGUCGUGGGGAGUGGGGUUUGGGCACGUGGAGUGAUUGCUGACUUGUGGACGCUGGAGGCGUGUUGCUCCACGAUCUGUCCCUGGGAAAGGUGCGGCGUCCCUGCGUAAGAGCGCUGAGCACGAGAGCUGGUGCUCUCCAAAGCAGAAAGGUUCCGAGGCCCAGGGAAUGGGGAAUGCAGAGAGCUCAAAGACUAGAAACAGAAAGUAUGAGUUCCACAAGGGAGGAAUCCUACCUGUUUUGUUCUCUGGGAUCUAGGAUAGUGCCUGGCACACAACGUGGACUCAGUGAGUAUUUGCUAAAUGAAUGACGACACCAAAAUAACUGCUAUGCUGGUAAAUUACUAAUCAAAAUCGAAGGUUAAAAGACUAGUAAAAUCUGUUGGUCAGCUGACCACGUAGCUGUAGCAGUCAUGGACGGCAAGGAAUGAGAGGCUGUACGACAAACAGCUGGGGGUGGUGUCCAAGAAUCUUCUUCAUUAUUUUUAACUAGCAACCCAGGCAAAUGGGCAUAACCAUCUGCAAACUGGCCUGGGGAACCACCAGCGGAUGAACAGAUGAUCUACUAGAGUGCCUUCCAGAUUCAAAAUUCUGACUCACUGACAUCUUUUUCAAUCACAUUUAAACCAGAAAUCAAGGCUAGGUGUGGUUCUUCAAAAGCAUUAAUAUUUUAACAAAGUAGGUGUAUAAAAGUGGAAACUUAGGAGCAAAUGGAGCUUUCAGUUCACAAAUGUUUCCAUGUCCACACUGUUUAAAAUCUGCACUCCUUCUCUGACAUUGGAAAGUUGACUUUACCAAGAUAAUUUAAUCUUCUCAUGUUAACAGAACCUAAAAAAAGCCCCAUUAGAGUCACAUAGUUAGAAAACCAGCAUUUGAAGUAAAUAUAAAAGAUCUCUAGAGUAAAAGAAGUACAAAAAUCUGUACAGUAUUAAAAGAAAUGCUCUAAAAUCGAAGGUUGGCAGAAGAGCAUGGAACUGGAAAUUUUAGGGGAAAAAGCUGCCACUUAUAUUAUCUUCAAGUAUCUAAAUAUAUUCUUAUAUAGCUCACAUCUGAAAAAAAGAAUUUACAUACCACUCUGAAAAUUCUGACAUUUUAUUUUGU